rnacentral:rRNA from 1 species
AUUGAACGCUGGCGGAAUGCUUUACACAUGCAAGUCGAACGGCAGCACGGGGGCAACCCUGGUGGCGAGUGGCGAACGGGUGAGUAAUACAUCGGAACGUGCCCGGUCGUGGGGGAUAAUGUCGCGAAAGUUCCGCUACUACCGCAUACGAUCUGCGGAUGCAAGCGGGGGACCUUCGGGACUCGCGCGAUCGUAGCGGCCGAUGUCCGAUUAGGUAGUUGGUGGGGUAAAGGCCUACCAAGCCGACGAUCGGUAGCUGGUCUGAGAGGACGACAAGCCACAUGGGGACUGAGACACGGCCCAGACUCCUACGGGAGGCAGCAGUGUGGAAUUUUGGACAAUGGGCGCAAGCCUGAUCCAGCCAUUCCGCGUGCAGGACGAAAGCCUUCGGGUUGUAAACUGCUUUUGUAUGGAACGAAAAGGCUCUGGCUAAUACCUGGGGCUCAUGACGGUACCGUAAGAAUAAGCACCGGCUAACUACGUG